GCUUACGGCCACACCACCCUGAGCACGCCCGCUCUCGUCUGAUCUCGGUAGCCAAGCAGGGUCGGGCCUGGUUAGUACUUGGAUGGGAGACCGCCUGGGAAUACCAGGUGCUGUAAGCAU
rnacentral:rRNA from 1 species